ACAAAAGCGCAUAUGCUGUGAGCUCGAUGAGUAGGGCGGGACACGUGGUAUCCUGUCUGAAUAUGGGGGGACCAUCCUCCAAGGCUAAAUACUCCUGACUGACCGAUAGUGAACCAGUACCGUGAGGGAAAGGCGAAAAGAACCCCGGCGAGGGGAGUGAAACAGAACCUGAAACCGUGUACGUACAAGCAGUGGGAGCCUCUCUUUAUGGGGGGUGACUGCGUACCUUUUGUAUAAUGGGUCAGCGACUUAUAUUCUGUAGCAAGGUUAACCGCAUAGGGGAGCCGAAGGGAAACCGAGUCUUAACCGGGCGUUAAGUUGCAGGGUAUAGACCCGAAACCCGGUGAUCUAGCCAUGGGCAGGUUGAAGGUUGGGUAACACUAACUGGAGGACCGAACCGACUAAUGUUGAAAAAUUAGCGGAUGACCUGUGGCUGGGGGUGAAAGGCCAAUCAAACCGGGAGAUAGCUGGUUCUCCCCGAAAGCUAUUUAGGUAGCGCCUCGUGAA
rnacentral:rRNA from 1 species